AUUGAACGCUGGCGGCAGGCCUAACACAUGCAAGUCGAACGAGUGGCGGACGGGUGAGUAAUGUCUGGGAAACUGCCCGAUGGAGGGGGAUAACUACUGGAAACGGUAGCUAAUACCGCAUACCAUCAGAUGUGCCCAGAGGGGAUUAGCUAGUAGGUUGGGUAACGGCUCACCUAGGCGACGAUCCCUAGCUGGUCUGAGAGGAUGACCAGCCACACUGGAACUGAGACACGGUCCAGACUCCUACGGGAGGCAGCAGUGGGGAAUAUUGCACAAUGGGCGCAAGCCUGAUGCAGCCAUGCCGCGUGGAUGAAGAAGGCUUUCGGGUUGUAAAGUACUUUCAGCGGGGAGGCGUUAACCGCAGAAGAAGCACCGGCUAACUACGUGCCAGCAGCCGCGGUAAUAC
rnacentral:rRNA from 1 species